rnacentral:rRNA from 1 species
AUGACUCUUCCAGUGCGGUUGCCUCUAGCUAUGCGCUCGCGAUCGAACAUCUAUUUCUACCUCCAGCAGUUCAUUGGGCCGCCUGUUGCUUAUCCUAGCCCACGCGUGCACUUGCCUAAAAUUUCUCCUCUAUACACUCCCUUGCGAUUACCCAUCUCUCCCCUAUCGCUGUCACCCUCCGAUCCUCUGCAUCUUCUUCAAAGACAGGCGAGAAACACUGGGGACAUGAGACAAAACACUGGGGACAAACACAAAGGACGAGAAAAAGAAGCUCUGGUCGAGCACAUUCAGGCAAAUGCAGAUUCAGACGGGAGCAGAGAAAAUCUGGAAAAAAUGAAAAGGUUCUGCUGGAGCAAAACGUAG